CUGGAGAAGCAGGGCACGUGC
rnacentral:miRNA from 1 species